UCCCAAUGCUUCAAAAGUUAUGCUGAUUUGAAAUUUGGCCCAAAUCAUCCACUUUUAGACUAGCAGCAACUAUCUUGAAUUUCAAUACUGCAACAAAUAAUGUAGUAAUAACUUUCAAUUCACAUGGACUAUUUUUAUGAAAAUUUGAACCUGACCAUUUUUUGGGGUGCAGAAUCGAAAUUUGAAGAGAAAAGAGUGUAUUUCUCAAGGUAAAGUGCUUGUUUUCUUGAAUCAAAAUGAAAACACUUCACCAUAUUCCCCCGACACUGUUGUGUACUCAAAGCCAAAUUCCCAUAAGUGCCCAAAUCCAACAGCUUUAAAACGUUUUGCACAUAAACUGAACAUAAUCUUUUACUUGUGUGUGAAAAAUCUCAAUGGUACUCUCAAGACAUGAAAAGGUCAAUCAUUCAUGACAGGAG